rnacentral:tRNA from 1 species
UACGGAAUGCCUGAUUAAAGGAUAAUUUUGAUAGAAUUAAUUAAGUGUUCUCAACACUUCCGUAA